rnacentral:rRNA from 1 species
UACGAAGGGGGCUAGCGUUGUUCGGAAUUACUGGGCGUAAAGGGCGCGUAGGCGGCCUUGUCAGUCAGAUGUGAAAGCCCGAGGCUCAACCUCGGAACUGCCUUCGAUACUGCGGGUCUCGAGUCCGGGAGAGGUGAGUGGAAUUCCUAGUGUAGAGGUGAAAUUCGUAGAUAUUAGGAAGAACACCAGUGGCGAAGGCGGCUCACUGGCCCGGUACUGACGCUGAGGCGCGAAAGCGUGGGGAGCAAACAGG